rnacentral:rRNA from 1 species
ACUCCUACGGGAGGCAGCAGUGGGGAAUAUUGCACAAUGGGGGAAACCCUGAUGCAGCCAUGCCGCGUGUGUGAAGAAGGCCUUCGGGUUGUAAAGCACUUUCAGUAGGGAGGAAGGUAGUGUAGUUAACACCUGCAUUAUUUGACGUUACCUACAGAAGAAGCACCGGCUAACUCCGUGCCAGCAGCCGCGGUAAUAUGGAGGGUGCGAGCGUUAAUCGGAAUUACUGGGCGUAAAGCGCAUGCAGGCGGCCUGUUAAGUCAGAUGUGAAAGCCCGGGGCUUAACCUCGGAAUUGCAUUUGAAACUGGCAGGCUAGAGUCUUGUAGAGGGGUUAGAAUUUCAGGUGUAGCGGUGAAAUGCGUAGAGAUCUGAAGGAAUACCAGUGGCGAAGGCGGCCCCUGGACAAAGACUGACGCUCAGAUGCGAAAGCGUGGGAGCAAACAGGAUUAGAUACCCCGUGGUAGCGACUGA